GGGUUGUGAGGUUAAGCGACUAAGCGUACACGGUGGAUGCCCUGGCAGUCAGAGGCGAUGAAGGACGUGCUAAUCUGCGAUAAGCGUCGGUAAGGUGAUAUGAACCGUUAUAACCGGCGAUUUCCGAAUGGGGAAACCCAGUGUGAUUCGUCACACUAUCAUUAACUGAAUCCAUAGGUUAAUGAGGCGAACCGGGGGAACUGAAACAUCUAAGUACCCCGAGGAAAAGAAAUCAACCGAGAUUCCCCCAGUAGCGGCGAGCGAACGGGGAGCAGCCCAGAGCCUGAAUCAGUGUGUGUGUUAGUGGAAGCGUCUGGAAAGGCGCGCGAUACAGGGUGACAGCCCCGUACACAAAAAUGCACAUACUGUGAGCUCGAUGAGUAGGGCGGGACACGUGGUAUCCUGUCUGAAUAUGGGGGGACCAUCCUCCAAGGCUAAAUACUCCUGACUGACCGAUAGUGAACCAGUACCGUGAGGGAAAGGCGAAAAGAACCCCGGCGAGGGGAGUGAAAAAGAACCUGAAACCGUGUACGUACAAGCAGUGGGAGCACGCUUAGGCGUGUGACUGCGUACCUUUUGUAUAAUGGGUCAGCGACUUAUAUUCUGUAGCAAGGUUAACCGAAUAGGGGAGCCGAAGGGAAACCGAGUCUUAACUGGGCGUUAAGUUGCAGGGUAUAGACCCGAAACCCGGUGAUCUAGCCAUGGGCAGGUUGAAGGUUGGGUAACACUAACUGGAGGACCGAACCGACUAAUGUUGAAAAAUUAGCGGAUGACUUGUGGCUGGGGGUGAAAGGCCAAUCAAACCGGGAGAUAGCUGGUUCUCCCCGAAAGCUAUUUAGGUAGCGCCUCGUGAAUUCAUCUCCGGGGGUAGAGCACUGUUUCGGCAAGGGGGUCAUCCCGACUUACCAACCCGAUGCAAACUGCGAAUACCGGAGAAUGUUAUCACGGGAGACACACGGCGGGUGCUAACGUCCGUCGUGAAGAGGGAAACAACCCAGACCGCCAGCUAAGGUCCCAAAGUCAUGGUUAAGUGGGAAACGAUGUGGGAAGGCCCAGACAGCCAGGAUGUUGGCUUAGAAGCAGCCAUCAUUUAAAGAAAGCGUAAUAGCUCACUGGUCGAGUCGGCCUGCGCGGAAGAUGUAACGGGGCUAAACCAUGCACCGAAGCUGCGGCAGCGACGCUUAUGCGUUGUUGGGUAGGGGAGCGUUCUGUAAGCCUGCGAAGGUGUGCUGUGAGGCAUGCUGGAGGUAUCAGAAGUGCGAAUGCUGACAUAAGUAACGAUAAAGCGGGUGAAAAGCCCGCUCGCCGGAAGACCAAGGGUUCCUGUCCAACGUUAAUCGGGGCAGGGUGAGUCGACCCCUAAGGCGAGGCCGAAAGGCGUAGUCGAUGGGAAACAGGUUAAUAUUCCUGUACUUGGUGUUACUGCGAAGGGGGGACGGAGAAGGCUAUGUUGGCCGGGCGACGGUUGUCCCGGUUUAAGCGUGUAGGCUGGUUUUCCAGGCAAAUCCGGAAAAUCAAGGCUGAGGCGUGAUGACGAGGCACUACGGUGCUGAAGCAACAAAUGCCCUGCUUCCAGGAAAAGCCUCUAAGCAUCAGGUAACAUCAAAUCGUACCCCAAACCGACACAGGUGGUCAGGUAGAGAAUACCAAGGCGCUUGAGAGAACUCGGGUGAAGGAACUAGGCAAAAUGGUGCCGUAACUUCGGGAGAAGGCACGCUGAUAUGUAGGUGAAGUCCCUCGCGGAUGGAGCUGAAAUCAGUCGAAGAUACCAGCUGGCUGCAACUGUUUAUUAAAAACACAGCACUGUGCAAACACGAAAGUGGACGUAUACGGUGUGACGCCUGCCCGGUGCCGGAAGGUUAAUUGAUGGGGUCAGCGCAAGCGAAGCUCUUGAUCGAAGCCCCGGUAAACGGCGGCCGUAACUAUAACGGUCCUAAGGUAGCGAAAUUCCUUGUCGGGUAAGUUCCGACCUGCACGAAUGGCGUAAUGAUGGCCAGGCUGUCUCCACCCGAGACUCAGUGAAAUUGAACUCGCUGUGAAGAUGCAGUGUACCCGCGGCAAGACGGAAAGACCCCGUGAACCUUUACUAUAGCUUGACACUGAACAUUGAGCCUUGAUGUGUAGGAUAGGUGGGAGGCUUUGAAGUGUGGACGCCAGUCUGCAUGGAGCCGACCUUGAAAUACCACCCUUUAAUGUUUGAUGUUCUAACGUGGACCCGUAAUCCGGGUUGCGGACAGUGUCUGGUGGGUAGUUUGACUGGGGCGGUCUCCUCCUAAAGAGUAACGGAGGAGCACGAAGGUUGGCUAAUCCUGGUCGGACAUCAGGAGGUUAGUGCAAUGGCAUAAGCCAGCUUGACUGCGAGCGUGACGGCGCGAGCAGGUGCGAAAGCAGGUCAUAGUGAUCCGGUGGUUCUGAAUGGAAGGGCCAUCGCUCAACGGAUAAAAGGUACUCCGGGGAUAACAGGCUGAUACCGCCCAAGAGUUCAUAUCGACGGCGGUGUUUGGCACCUCGAUGUCGGCUCAUCACAUCCUGGGGCUGAAGUAGGUCCCAAGGGUAUGGCUGUUCGCCAUUUAAAGUGGUACGCGAGCUGGGUUUAGAACGUCGUGAGACAGUUCGGUCCCUAUCUGCCGUGGGCGCUGGAGAACUGAGGGGGGCUGCUCCUAGUACGAGAGGACCGGAGUGGACGCAUCACUGGUGUUCGGGUUGUCAUGCCAAUGGCACUGCCCGGUAGCUAAAUGCGGAAGAGAUAAGUGCUGAAAGCAUCUAAGCACGAAACUUGCCCCGAGAUGAGUUCUCCCUGACCCUUUAAGGGUCCUGAAGGAACGUUGAAGACGACGACGUUGAUAGGCCGGGUGUGUAAGCGCAGCGAUGCGUUGAGCUAACCGGUACUAAUGAACCGUGAGGCUUAACCUUACAACGCCGAAGCUGUU
rnacentral:rRNA from 2 species